CACGUAGUUAGCCGUGGCUUUCUGGUUAGGUACCGUCAAGGUGCUAGCAGUUACUCUAGCACUUGUUCUUCCCUAACAACAGAACUUUACGACCCGAAGGCCUUCAUCGUUCACGCGGCGUUGCCCCGUCAGACUUUCGUCCAUUGCGGAAGAUUCCCUACUGCUGCCUCCCGUAGGAGUCUGGGCCGUGUCUCAGUCCCAGUGUGGCCGAUCACCCUCUCAGGUCGGCUACGCAUCGUUGCCUUGGUGAGCCGUUACCUCACCAACUAGCUAAUGCGCCGCGGGUCCAUCUGUAAGUGAUAGCGAGAAGCCAUCUUUCAAAUUUGAACCAUGCGGUUCAAAUUAUUAUCCGGUAUUAGCUCCGGUUUCCCGGAGUUAUCCCAAUCUUACAGGCAGGUUACCCACGUGUUACUCACCCGUCCGCCGCUAAUCUUUGGGAGCAAGCUCCUCAGAUUCGCUCGACUUGCAUGUAUUAGGCACGCCGCCAGCGUUCGUCCUGAGCCAGGAUCAAA
rnacentral:rRNA from 1 species